GAUGAACGCUGGCGGCGUGCCUAAUACAUGCAAGUCGAGCGAAUAGAUUAAGAGCUUGCUCUUAUGAAGUUAGCGGCGGACGGGUGAGUAACACGUGGGUAACCUGCCCAUAAGACUGGGAUAACUCCGGGAAACCGGGACUAAUACCGGAUAACAUUUUGAACCGCAUGGUUCGAAAUUGAAAGGCGGCUUCGGCUGUCACUUAUGGAUGGACCCGCGUCGCAUUAGCUAGUUGGUGAGGUAACGGCUCACCAAGGCAACGAUGCGUAGCCGACCUGAGAGGGUGAUCGGCCACACUGGGACUGAGACACGGCCCAGACUCCUACGGGAGGCAGCAGUAGGGAAUCUUCCGCAAUGGACGAAAGUCUGACGGAGCAACGCCGCGUGAGUGAUGAAGGCUUUCGGGUCGUAAAACUCUGUUGUUAGGGAAGAACAAGUGCUAGUUGAAUAAGCUGGCACCUUGACGGUACCUAACCAGAAAGCCACGGCUAACUACGUGCCAGCCGCCGCGGUAA
rnacentral:rRNA from 1 species